GACACGCUGGCGGCGCGCUUAACACAUGCAAGUCGUGCGGUGUCGAAGGCAAGUCUUACGACAAGCCUUCGACACAGCGGCGAACGGGUGAGUAACACGUGAGUAGCUGUCCUAAGGAGGGGGAUAACGCCUGGAAACGGGUGCUAAUACCCCAUAUGCCUCGCAAGAGGUGAAAGUGUACUUGUUACAGCCUUAGGGUGUGCUCGCGGCCUAUCAGCUAGUUGGUGAGGUAACGGCUCACCAAGGCUAAGACGGGUAGCCGGCCUGAGAGGGUGUACGGCCACACUGGAAUUGAGAUACGGUCCAGACUCCUACGGGAGGCAGCAGUGGGGAAUAUUGCACAAUGGGCGAAAGCCUGAUGCAGCGACGCCGCGUGAGGGAUGACGGCCUUCGGGUUGUAAACCUCUUUCAGCAGGGAAGAAGCGAAAGUGACGGUACCUGCAGAAGAAGCACCGGCUAACUACGUG
rnacentral:rRNA from 1 species